AUACGUAGGUGGCAAGCGUUAUCCGGAAUUACUGGGCGUAAAGCGAGCGCAGGCGGUUUUUUAAGUUCUGAUGUGAAAGCCCUUGGCUCAACCAAGGAAGUGCAUCGGAAACUGGAGAACUUGAGUGCAGAAGAGGACAGUGGAACUCCAUGUGUAGCGGUGAAAUGCGUAGAUAUAUGGAAGAACACCAGUGGCGAAGGCGGCUGUCUGGUCUGUAACUGACGCUGAGGCUCGAAAGUAUGGGGAGC
rnacentral:rRNA from 1 species